rfam:Gossypium hirsutum cultivar TM-1 chromosome 22, whole genome shotgun sequence
UAUUAAAAAUUUUAUCAAUUUGUACGGUUAAAACCGACGUGUUUGACACAAUAACUAGAUAGUGACACGUGGCGUGUCACGUAUACCUUAUGCUAACAUACAAAUGCUAGUUUUUAAUAGUAAAAAUGGAUAAAAUUUUUAACA